rnacentral:rRNA from 1 species
UACGGAGGGUGCAAGCGUUAUCCGGAUUCACUGGGUUUAAAGGGUGCGUAGGUGGGUUGGUAAGUCAGUGGUGAAAUCCCCGAGCUUAACUUGGGAACUGCCAUUGAUACUAUCUGUCUUGAAUAUCGUGGAGGUAAGCGGAAUAUGUCAUGUAGCGGUGAAAUGCUUAGAUAUGACAUAGAACACCCAUUGCGAAGGCAGCUUACUACACGAUCAUUGACGCUGAGGCACGAAAGCGUGGGGAGCAAACAGG